UACGUAAGGAGCAAGCGUUGUCCGGAUUUACUGGGCGUAAAGCGAGCGCAGGCGGUUCCUUAAGUCUGAUGUGAAAGCCCACGGCUCAACCGUGGAAGGUCAUUGGAAACUGGGGAACUUGAGUGCAGAAGAGGAGAGUGGAAUUCCAUGUGUAGCGGUGAAAUGCGUAGAUAUAUGGAGGAACACCAGUGGCGAAGGCGACUCUCUGGUCUGUAACUGACGCUGAGGCUCGAAAGCGUGGGGAGCAAACAGGAUUAGAUA
rnacentral:rRNA from 1 species